rnacentral:rRNA from 1 species
ACACAUGCAAGUCGGGCGCUCACUUCGGUGGGAGCGGCGGACGGGUUAGUAACGCGUGGGAACGUACCCAGAUCUAGGGAAUAGCCACUGGAAACGGUGAGUAAUACCUUAUACGCCCCCUUUUAGAGAUAUUAGGGGGGAAAGAUUUAUCGGAUUUGGAUCGGCCCGCGUUAGAUUAGAUAGUUGGUGGGGUAAUGGCCUACCAAGUCUACGAUCUAUAGCUGGUUUUAGAGGAUGAUCAGCAACACUGGGACUGAGACACGGCCCAGACUCCUACGGGAGGCAGCAGUGGGGAAUCUUGGACAAUGGGCGCAAGCCUGAUCCAGCCAUGCCGCGUGAGUGAUGAAGGCCUUAGGGUCGUAAAGCUCUUUCGCCUGUGAAGAUAAUGACGGUAGCAGGUAAAGAAACCCCGGCUAACUCCGUGCCAGCAGCCGCGGUAAUACGGAGGGGGUUAGCGUUGUUCGGAAUUACUGGGCGUAAAGCGCACGUAGGCGGACUGGAAAGUAUGGGGUGAAAUCCCAGGGCUCAACCCUGGAACUGCCUCAUAAACUCCCAGUCUUGAGUUCGAGAGAGGUGAGUGGAAUUCCGAGUGUAGAGGUGAAAUUCGUAGAUAUUCGGAGGAACACCAGUGGCGAAGGCGGCUCACUGGCUCGAUACUGACGCUGAGGUGCGAAAGUGUGGGGAGCAAACAGGAUUAGAUACCCUGGUAGUCCACACCGUAAACGAUGAAUGCCAGUCGUCGGGUAGCAUGCUAUUCGGUGACACACCUAACGGAUUAAGCAUUCCGCCUGGGGAGUACGGUCGCAAGAU